AUGAGUGUGUAUACAUUUUAUAUUGUGUUUAUACAGAAAUGUUUAGGCAACCUAAAUAGGUGUUUUUGUGGUAAAACUUUGGACUCACUUAUUUGUGCACAGUACCAGCCCUGGGCUAAGGCCAUUGAGGCCUGUGCCUUAGGCCUAAAAAAUUUAGCCCAAAAUAUGGGCUCCAAACUUACUAAAGUAUUAAAGUAUUUUAUAAAUUUAAAUUGGCCUAAAUUAUUUUUGUUAUUUUAGGGCCAAUUCAAAAGCUCAAAAAUAUUCUGUUGGAUCAUAUUUAUUUAUAAGUGUGAUUUAGUCCAAUUAAAAUUAAAAAAUCUACAGAAAGUGUUGAUGGCCCAAGGAGAAGAAUAAUACAUACAAGCUCUCUCUCUCUCAUAAAGUGACGAAGGAAAGGAAGCAUACCAAGCAUAAGCAGAGCACUAAGCAACGGCAGAAAUUGAUUGCAAAUUAUCAACGGCAGCGCCUCUCUUUCUCUCUCUCACCCCUGGCCUGGACCUCUUGGGCUAGGUCCAGAUGGUAAGCGUUCAAGCCAACAUGCCACAGACAGCUUGGCUUUCUCAAACACGGAUGGGUAUGUCGCAAUGCGGUUUCCACAGCCAAAAUCCUCUGAUAAAACCCUCGUUGCCCCGACAUG